rnacentral:rRNA from 1 species
UACGUAGGGUGCGAUCGUUGUCCGGAAUUAUUGGGCGUAAAGAGCUCGUAGGCGGUGUGUCGCGUCGGCCGUGAAAACCUGCAGCUUAACUGUGGGCUUGCGGUCGAUACGGGCAUCACUGGAGUUCGGCAGGGGAGACUGGAAUUCCUGGUGUAGCGGUGAAAUGCGCAGAUAUCAGGAGGAACACCGGUGGCGAAAGCGGCUCUCUGGAACGGUACUGACGCUGAGACGCGAAAGCGUGGGGAGCGAACAGG